rnacentral:rRNA from 1 species
UACGUAGGGUGCGAGCGUUAAUCGGAAUUACUGGGCGUAAAGCGUGCGCAGGCGGUUCGUUGUGUCGGCGGUGAAAGCCCCGGGCUCAACCUGGGAAUGGCCGUUGAAACUGGCGAACUGGAGUGUGGCAGAGGGGGGUGGAAUUCCGCGUGUAGCGGUGAAAUGCGUAGAUAUGUGGAGGAAUACCGGUGGCGAAGGCGGCCUCCUGGUUCAAUACUGACGCUGAGGUGCGAAAGCGUGGGGAGCAAACAGG